UACGAAGGGGGCUAGCGUUGUUCGGAAUUACUGGGCGUAAAGCGCACGUAGGCGGAUUGUUAAGUCAGGGGUGAAAUCCUGGAGCUCAACUCCAGAACUGCCUUUGAUACUGGCAACCUAGAGACUGGAAGAGGUUAGUGGAAUUCCCAGUGUAGAGGUGAAAUUCGUAGAUAUUGGGAAGAACACCAGUGGCGAAGGCGGCUAACUGGUCCAGCACUGACGCUGAGACGCGAAAGCGUGGGGAGCAAACAGG
rnacentral:rRNA from 1 species